GAUGAACGCUGGCGGCGUGCCUAACACAUGCAAGUCGAGCGAGAAGUUUGAAAAAUGAGUUUUCGAGCAAGUGAUUCAAACGGAAAGCGGCGGACGGGUGAGUAACGCGUAGGCAACCUGCCCCGUGCAGAGGGACAGCCUCGGGAAACCGGGAUUAAGACCUCAUGAUAUCGGGUUAUCACAUGGUAAUCCGGUCAAAGAUUUAUCGGCAUGGGAUGGGCCUGCGUCUGAUUAGCUGGUUGGUGGGGUAACGGCCUACCAAGGCGACGAUCAGUAGCAGAACUGAGAGGUUCAUCUGCCACAUUGGAACUGAGACACGGUCCAAACUCCUACGGGAGGCAGCAGUGAGGAAUAUUGCACAAUGGGCGAAAGCCUGAUGCAGCGACGCCGCGUGAGCGAAGAAGGCCUUUGGGUCGUAAAGCUCUGUCCUUGGGGAAGAAACAAAUGACGGUACCCUUGGAGGAAGCCCCGGCUAACUACGUGCCAGCCGCCGCGGUAA
rnacentral:rRNA from 1 species